UGGGGAAUUUUGGACAAUGGGCGAAAGCCUGAUCCAGCAAUGCCGCGUGUGUGAAGAAGGCCUUCGGGUUGUAAAGCACUUUUGUCCGGAAAGAAAUCCUUGGCUCUAAUACAGUCGGGGGAUGACGGUACCGGAAGAAUAAGCACCGGCUAACUACGUGCCAGCAGCCGCGGUAAUACGUAGGGUGCAAGCGUUAAUCGGAAUUACUGGGCGUAAAGCGUGCGCAGGCGGUUUGCUAAGACCGAUGUGAAAUCCCCGGGCUCAACCUGGGAACUGCAUUGGUGACUGGCAGGCUAGAGUAUGGCAGAGGGGGGUAGAAUUCCACGUGUAGCAGUGAAAUGCGUAGAGAUGUGGAGGAAUACCGAUGGCGAAGGCAGCCCCCUGGGCCAAAUACUGACGCUCAUGCACGAAAGCGUGGGGAGCAAACAGGAUUAGAUACCCUGGUAGUCCACGCCCUAAAACGAUGUCAACUAGUUGUUGGGGAUUCAUUUUCCUUAGUAACGUAGCUAACGCGUGAAGUUGACCGCCUGGGGGAGUACGGUCGCAAGAUUAAAACUUAAAUUGAAUUGACGGGGUCAUAGCUGUUUCCU
rnacentral:rRNA from 1 species